rnacentral:rRNA from 1 species
UCCGGUCGCCGAUUCAAUCCCGCCGCGGUGCUCUUAACUGAGUGUCGAGGUGGGCCGGCAAAUUUACUUUGAACAAAUUAGAGUGCUUAAAGCAGGCUGAUUUCCGCCUGAAUACUGUGUGCAUGGAAUAAUGGAAUAGGACUUCGGUUCUAUUUUAUUGGUUUUAAGAAACCGAAGUAAUGAUUAAUAGGGACAGGCGGGGGCAUUCGUAUUGCGACGUUAGAGGUGAAAUUCUUGGAUCGUCGCAAGACGUACCUAAGCGAAAGCAUUUGCCAAGUAUGUCCUUGUUAAUCAAGAACGAAAGUUAGAGGUUCGAAGGCGAUCAGAUACCGCCCUAGUUCUAACCAUAAACGAUGCCAGCCAGCGAUCCGCCAAUGUUCCUCCGAUGACUUGGCGGGCAGCUUCCGGGAAACCAAAGCUUUUGGGUUCCGGGGGAAGUAUGGUUGCAAAGCUGAAACUUAAAGGAAUUGACGGAAGGGCACCACCAGGAGUGGAGCCUGCGGCUUAAUUUGACUCAACACGGGA